GACCCGGUAGCUCAGUGGUAGAGCAGUGGCCUUUUAAGCCAAUGGUCGUGGGUUCGAUCCCCACCCGGGUCACCA
rnacentral:tRNA from 2 species